CAUUACUGAGUGUGAAAACUCCCAACCCUUUGUGAACAUACCUCUGUUGCUUCGGCGGAUGCGCCCCGGGCGCGCCUUCUAGGAGGCGUGCCCCGGAACCAGGCGCCCGCCGGGGGACCUACAAACUCUUGUAUUCCUAGCGGAUCUCUGAGUGUGAUUUAAACAAAUCAAAUCAAAACUUUCAACAACGGAUCUCUUGGCUCUAGCAUCGAUGAAGAACGCAGCGAAAUGCGAUAAGUAAUGCGAAUUGCAGAAUUCAGUGAAUCAUCGAAUCUUUGAACGCACAUUGCGCCCGCUAGUAUUCUGGCGGGCAUGCCUGUCUGAGCGUCAUUUCAACCCUCGUCCCCCGUCUAGGCGGGAGGGCGGUGUUGGGGAUGGGCCUGCCUCCGGGCCGGCCCGCCCCUAAAUGUAGUGGCGACCACGCCGUAGCCUCCUCUGCGUAGUAGUAACUCACCUCGCGGGCGGAGAGCGGUGCGGCCUGCCGUAAAACCCCCUACUUUCUCAAGGUUGACCUCAGAUCAGGUAGGAAUACCCGCUGAACUUAA
rnacentral:rRNA from 1 species